rnacentral:rRNA from 1 species
UACGGAGGGGGCAAGCGUUACUCGGAAUUACUGGGCGUAAAGGGCUCGUAGGCGGCCAACUAAGUCAGACGUGAAAUCCCUCGGCUUAACCGGGGAACUGCGUCUGAUACUGGUUGGCUUGAAUCCGGGAGAGGGAUGUGGAAUUCCAGGUGUAGCGGUGAAAUGCGUAGAUAUCUGGAGGAACACCGGUGGCGAAGGCGGCAUCCUGGACCGGUAUUGACGCUGAGGAGCGAAAGCGUGGGGAUCAAACAGG